GCUAAUUGGAGUGCAUUGUGAGGAGAUGGUUUUCGAGCAAAAUUCAACGAUCAAGGAUAUCCUGUUCCAAAUUUUAACCGUCACAUGGAAUGUGCCUUGUUCAUGGUACGUGUUAUCCAACCUGGAGUGUGUCAUGUCCGUAUUGACUAUGACAUGCUAUGUUGCUGCGUUGGAAACCUAGUGUCAUUUACCCGAAACAGGAG
rnacentral:lncRNA from 1 species